rnacentral:rRNA from 1 species
GAUGAACGCUAGCUACAGGCUUAACACAUGCAAGUCGAGGGACCGGCGCACGGGUGAGUAACACGUAUCCAACCUGCCCUUUACUCGGGGAUAGCCUUUCGAAAGAAAGAUUAAUACCCGAUGUCAAGGAUGGGGAUGCGUUCCAUUAGGUUGUUGGUGAGGUAACGGCUCACCAAGCCUUCGAUGGAUAGGGGUUCUGAGAGGAAGGGCCCGCACGUUGGAACUGGGACACGGUCCAAACUCAUACGGGAGGUGGCAGUGAGGAAGAUUGGUCAAUGCGCGUUGGCCUGAACCAGCCAAGUAGCGUGAAGGAGGAAGGCGUAUGGGUCGUAAGCUUGUGAUAUAUAAGAAUAAGUAUUAGAGGAAUAAGGAUCGUCUAACUCCGUGACAGCAGCCGCGGUAAUAC